ensembl:lncRNA
GGGCACAUCUGAACUGAAGGGCCAGGCCAUGAAGAAAUUGGGUGUCUGAAGGGGUUGGAGGCCAGCAGUAUGGGGUUGGGACAUGGCAUACAUAGGGUCAAGGUAGCUGGGGUUCUGUCCAGGAUGUGGGAAUCUGGACCAGAGUCUGAGUAUCUGAGGAUUCUCCUUCUUAAGUGACCUCUGGUUUUUUCAAUCUGGAUGUGAUUGUUUAAGGGGUGAGAACCAUGUUAGAAAAAUGAAAGUGGAAAUAUCAGUUGCUCAGUCAGUCAUAUCUGACUCUUUGUGAUCACGUGGACUAUAGCCAACCAGGCUCCUCUGUCCAUGAAAUUCUGCAGGCAAGAAUAUUGGAGUGGGUUUCCAUUCCCUUCUCCAGGGGAUCUUACUGACCCAGGGAUCGAACCCUGGUCUCCUGCACUGCAGGCAGAUUCUUUACCAUCUGAGCCACUAGGGAAACCUGUCUUAGGAAAAUGGCUCCAUUUUACUUAUCAGAGAUUCCUAGGAGUUCCCUAGCCAGGACAGGGAAAGUCCAACCUGGAGGUGCCACUGGGAGCGCAUAUGCCAAGGUGAGCCCUCCUUAAAGAAGCUUGGCCUGGUGACCCUUGGACACACCUUCCAGUGGGCCUCCCCAUGUCCUCCAGGUGAGGCCUUAUCAUUCCCUCAGCCCUUCAAGAGCACCUUCUUGAGUCAGGCACCAAAAUGUAGAAGGGAGCUAAGACAGAUGGAGAAGGCUAUGGGCCUCUGACCCUGACAUGCUGAACCAUCGUACGUGAUGACUCCAACUCUGACCCGGCCUCCAAGGAGGCUGCUGGAAGCCUGUAUGCACCCUCUCUGGGUUGGCUUUCCUCAUCCUGCAAACGGAGCUCCUAGCAGCCUCUGAAGCAUGGAAUGAAGCCUCUUUCUAAGGCCUGCAAGCUGCACACAAGACAGACUCAUGGAGAUGAGAUACAAAUAGGAAACAAGCACAGGAGGAGUAGAUGGCCAGAAAUGCUCACAUCACUGCAAAGCGGAUUAGCAUCUUAAGUUUCCAGAUGUUGACACUAUGUAUUGAACCAAGCCAAUAGACCAACUUCGAUCUGAAAAUGAAAGUCUGGUGAUCAAGACACAGAGCUGAGAUUCCAGUGGCUAAUAGCAUUUACGUCUUCAUCCUCCAGCUAGGGAAGUGCCUUCAAAACAAGUUUCUGAACAUAAGUUAUCCAGUUGGACACAUGAAGUCUUGUAUAAAACAAGAAAGCAAAGUUCUCAGGUGCUGGAAAUGAAGAGGGACAACAAAAUUGCAAAAGGAAGCAGAAAGUGAAAGAAGUGCACCAGCUGUGAUGAACCAUGCAGAAGCAUGGCUGAGAGGAGCUACUCCUCGCCCAAGGUCAGGGGUGGCGCCCAAGAGGAGCUACCCCACGUACAAUGUCAGGGCGGCGGCCAAGAGUGCCAGGCUGUGAGGGCGCAGGAGCAGCUGAGAGGAGCUACCCCACGUCUGAGGCCAGAGGCGGCAGCUGAAAGGAGCAACCCCACGUCCAAGGAGCGGUGGCUGCACGGGUGCAGGAGAGUGGAGAGGAACUACUCCAUGUUCAAGGUCAGGAGGGGUGGCAGUGAGGAGAUACCCCUUGUCCAAGGUAAGGAGCAGCAGCUGCACUUUGCUGGAGCAGCCUUGAGGAG